rnacentral:rRNA from 1 species
GAUGAACGCUAGCGGCAGGCUUAACACAUGCAAGUCGAGGGGUAUAGUUCUUCGGAACUAGAGACCGGCGCACGGGUGCGUAACGCGUAUGCAAUCUACCUUUUACAGGGGGAUAGCCCAGAGAAAUUUGGAUUAAUACCCCAUAGUAUGUUAGAGUGGCAUCAUUUUAACAUUAAAGUUCCAACGGUAAAAGAUGAGCAUGCGUCCCAUUAGCUAGAUGGUAAGGUAACGGCUUACCAUGGCGACGAUGGGUAGGGGUCCUGAGAGGGAGAUCCCCCACACUGGUACUGAGACACGGACCAGACUCCUACGGGAGGCAGCAGUGAGGAAUAUUGGACAAUGGGCGCAAGCCUGAUCCAGCCAUGCCGCGUGCAGGAAGACGGUCCUAUGGAUUGUAAACUGCUUUUGUACAGGAAGAAACACUCCCUCGUGAGGGAGCCUGACGGUACUGUAAGAAUAAGGAUCGGCUAACUCCGUGCCAGCAGCCGCUGUAAAAC